GACGAACGCUGGCGGCGUGCCUAACACAUGCAAGUCGAACGGGGUAAUUACUUCGGUGAUUACUUAGUGGCGAACGGGUGAGUAACGCGUGAGAAACCUGCCUUUCAGUGGGGGACAACAGUUGGAAACGACUGCUAAUACCGCAUAAUGUUAUUUGAGGGCAUCCUUGAAUAACCAAAGCUUUAUGUGCUGAAAGAUGGUCUCGCGUCUGAUUAGCUAGAUGGCGGGGUAACGGCCCACCAUGGCGACGAUCAGUAGCCGGUCUGAGAGGAUGAACGGCCACAUUGGGACUGAGAUACGGCCCAGACUCCUACGGGAGGCAGCAGUGGGGAAUAUUGGGCAAUGGGGGAAACCCUGACCCAGCAACGCCGCGUGAAGGAAGAAGGCCUUCGGGUUGUAAACGUUCUUUUACCUAGGGACGAAGAACGUGACGGUACCUGGAGAAAAGACAACGGCGUAACUACGUG
rnacentral:rRNA from 1 species